UAAAUAAGGUGACACAUGAGGAAUGGCAA
rnacentral:piRNA from 1 species